rnacentral:misc_RNA from 1 species
UCCGGCUUAUCACCGGCAGUUUCCUUAGAGUUCCCAGCAUAACCUGUUGGCAACUAAGGAUGAGGGUUGCGCUCGUUGCGGGACUUAACCCAACAUCUCACGACACGAGCUGACGACAGCCAUGCAGCACCUGUGUUCCGGGCUCCGAAGAGAAGGUCACAUCUCUGUGACCGGUCCCGGACAUGUCAAGGGCUGGUAAGGUUCUGCGCGUUGCGUCGAAUUAAACCACAUGCUCCACCGCUUGUGCAGGCCCCCGUCAAUUCCUUUGAGUUUCGGUCUUGCGACCGUACUCCCCAGGCGGAGUGUUUCACGCGUUAGCUGCGCCACUAGUGAGUAAACCCACUAACGGCUGGCAUUCAUCGUUUACGGCGUGGACUAC